UUCGAAGGCAUUCGCAGUAGACCAAACAGAGAAAGAGAGGGAGACACAAAACCACCUGUCUCGGUGUCACACAUGAGGAGUUGAGGAGGAGAUGAAGUCGGUGAAUAUGACCUGGCCUGGGGGAGUUUCCUGAAGAAGACCCAGAAUCGCCGGAUGUCAGGAGUGGAGAUCCUUCGUUUCUGCCCUACAUGCUAGGAGGCAUCGGGCAGUAGAUGCUGUAAUUUGAAACGGAAGGUGUCCUGCCAAUACAUUUUCAUCCCACCUGAACUGCCUUGCCUGCCUGCACCCAGUCAUC